rnacentral:rRNA from 1 species
GACGAACGCUGGCGGCGUGCUUAACACAUGCAAGUCGAACGGGCCCGCUCUCUUUUUUGGGGGUGGGUUGAGUGGCGAACGGGUGAGUAUCACGUGAGUAACCUGCCCCCUGCUCCUGGAUAACUGCUUGAAAGGGCGGCUAAUACGGGGUGUGCCGGCUGGUCCGCAUGGGCCUGGUCGGGAUAGUUUCAUCUUCGGGUGUUUCGGUGGGGGAUGGGCUCGCGGCCUAUCAGCUUGUUGGUGGGGUGAUGGCCCACCAAGGCGGUGACGGGUAGCCGGCCUGAGAGGGUGGGCGGCCGCACGGGGACUGGGACACGGCCCAGACUCCGGCGGGAGGCAGCAGUGGGGGGUAUGGCACAAUGGGCGGAAGCCCGAUGCAGCGACGUCGCGUGAGGGAUGGAGGCCGUCGGGUGGUGAACCUCUUUCUCCGGUGGUGAAGGCCCUGUCCGUUGCGGCGGGGUUGACGGUAGCCGGGUAUGAAGCGCCGGCUAACUACGUG